UACAGAGGUCCCAAGCGUUGUCCGGAUUUAUUGGGCGUAAAGAGCUCGUAGGCGGCUUGUCGCGUCGACUGUGAAAACCCGCGGCUCAACUGCGGGCCUGCAGCCGAUACGGGCAGGCUAGAGUUCGGUAGGGGAGACUGGAAUUCCCGGUGUAGUGGUGAAAUGCGUAGAUAUCGGGAGGAACACCAGUGGCGAAGGCGACUACCUGGCCUGUUCUUGACGCUGAGGCGCGAAAGCUAGGGGAGCAAACGGG
rnacentral:rRNA from 1 species